rnacentral:rRNA from 1 species
UACGUAGGGUGCAAGCGUUUGUCCGGAAUUAUUGGGCGUAAAGAGCUCGUAGGCGGUUUGUCGCGUCUGCUGUGAAAACCCGAGGCUCAAUCUCGGGCCUGCAGUGGGUACGGGCAGACUAGAGUGCGGUAGGGGAGAUUGGAAUUCCUGGUGUAGCGGUGGAAUGCGCAGAUAUCAGGAGGAACACCGAUGGCGAAGGCAGAUCUCUGGGCCGUAACUGACGCUGAGGAGCGAAAAGCAUGGGGGAGCGAACAGG